GGUGGCUCAGUGUUAGAGCACUUGCCUUGCAUGCAUGAGGCCCUGGGUUCAAUUCUUCAGCACCA
rnacentral:tRNA from 1 species